rnacentral:lncRNA from 1 species
UGUGACUAGUUGCACCUCAAAGGUACUGUCAUGAGCUUUUCCAUGCACUCAAGUCCUGAGGCAAAACCCACUGAAGACUUCCUGACAUCAAUGGGCUUUGGAUCUAAUCCACAGACAGCUAGUUUCUUUUGGAAAACGUUGAGUGAAAUCAAAUCAGCUGAAGGAGGCACUUCAGUGACGCAAUUCAUCUAAUUCCGAAGUCGAUGCAGCG